CCCAGUCAACAUGUCUGUGAUAAUAUUAUCGUGUAUUUUGUGCGCAAUAAAUAGUAUUUAAUCCGUUUUGUGUCGCUGUUAUGAGUAAUUAGUUUUCGCCCAGAAACGUCCUAAAUUUACUCUGCCGUACGGAUAAUACGACUCGCAAAUCCUGCCACCAGCGAGAACACCACAUUUGCGCGUUAAGGGCACCAGUAGCGGUGCGAGGUUUUUGCCACUCGGAGUAAACAGCAGCUGAUUGGCAUUCUUUGGCUGAUCCAUCUAGCAAAAAUAUCAUCUAUCCAGGAAACAUAUUCAAAACGAUUAGCUCCAUAAUGAGGACUGUGAUGAGGAAGCCCACGCUCGUCAAAGGAAAUAUUCAGUUCUUCCAGAAAUAUGACAUUUGACACAUGACAACUUAGGAAAACAACCUUUAGUGUUUUUAUACCGGUUACCGUUUGAUACUAAAACAAUGAACUUAGUGUAUGGUUCUGCAGAGUUUUAUUUUACAUGGGUGUUUGAAUGUGGAACUAGAACUGAAAUAGUUACAUCCCCAUUAAAUCGUUUUUCGCUCAUUUCAUUUCCAGAUCUGUAAUUUAGUCAAGUUUAUGUGUCCCUCCUAACGUUCGAAUCCGUUGACCGGUUCCAGAAUUAUUCAAAAUCACCGUGAGUUCGGCAUCCAAGUUGGGUGACGGAUGAGUUUUCAAGGAACAUCAUAAAUGCAAGACGAUGUAUAGCGGUACUGAAAAGUAUUUUCGGCAACUCAGCUGUCCCUCAACCGAAAGAAACAGUUGUUACACGGUGGCGGGCAGAUCCCUGGGCCCGUGGUUCAUAUAGCUUCGUUUCGGUUGGAUCAUCAGGUAGUGAUCACGAUCUAUUAGCCGCACCAGUGACACCCCGAUGUAGUAUCGAAACAAACACAGCAGGCAUCAAUGGGUCUUCCCAUUGUGGUAAUGGGAACAACGAUGAGGACGACAGUAAAGCAGACAUUCCACGGUUGUUUUUUGCCGGUGAACAUACGAUACGCAAUUACCCUGCCACAGUACAUGGGGCUUUACUAAGUGGCCUGAGAGAAGCUGGUCGGAUAGCAGACUACUAUUUGGGUUUCCCGAACACGUACCCAGACGCACCGAAAGAGGAACCGAAGAAAUAAUGCAUAUAGUGUUAACAGUUCAGCUUAAGAGACAUUCAAAAUUAUUGCCGACGAUCAAAAAACAUUUUGCACAUUAGUUUUUUCUUUGGAUUCAAUCAACCGAUGGCACACGUCAACGAGCUUUACCGUAAAUUAAUUGGAGAAACAAUAAAUUUAAAUUCAUUGAAAUUACAAGUUAAUUUAUUUAUUUCAUGCGAUAUUUAUAAAAUAGAUUGCACAUAUCGUCACUGUUGAUAAGCGCCAUUUCGAACAUUUCGAAAAACAAAUUUUGGGGUCAAAUUUCAGCAAAUCAAAAUUUGGUGUUGU